CUGAGAGGAAGGUCCCCCACAUUGGAACUGAGACACGGUCCAAACUCCUACGGGAGGCAGCAGUGAGGAAUAUUGGUCAAUGGGCGAGAGCCUGAACCAGCCAAGUAGCGUGCAGGAUGACGGCCCUAUGGGUUGUAAACUGCUUUUAUAAGGGAAUAAAGUGAGUCUCGUGAGACUUUUUGCAUGUACCUUAUGAAUAAGGACCGGCUAAUUCCGUGCCAGCAGCCGCGGUAAUACGGAAGGUCCGGGCGUUAUCCGGAUUUAUUGGGUUUAAAGGGAGCGUAGGCCGGAGAUUAAGCGUGUUGUGAAAUGUAGACGCUCAACGUCUGCACUGCAGCGCGAACUGGUUUCCUUGAGUACGCACAAAGUGGGCGGAAUUCGUGGUGUAGCGGUGAAAUGCUUAGAUAUCACGAAGAACUCCGAUUGCGAAGGCAGCUCACUGGAGCGCAACUGACGCUGAAGCUCGAAAGUGCGGGUAUCGAACAGGAUUAGAUACCCUGGUAGUCCGCACGGUAAACGAUGGAUGCCCGCUGUUGGUCUGAAUAGGUCAGCGGCCGAGCGAAAGCAUUAAGCAUCCCACCUGGGGAGUACGCCGGCAACGGUGCAACUCAAAGGAAUUGACGG
rnacentral:rRNA from 1 species